rnacentral:rRNA from 1 species
GAUGAACGCUAGCGGCAGGCUUAAUACAUGCAAGUCGAGGGGUAGCAAGAUUGUAGCAAUACAAUUGUUGACGACCGGCAAACGGGUGCGGAACACGUACACAACCUUCCUACAAGUGGGGAAUAGCCCAGAGAAAUUUGGAUUAAUACCCCGUAACAUAGCGAUGUGGCAUCACAUUGCUAUUAUAGCUUCGGCGCUUGUUGAUGGGUGUGCGGCUGAUUAGAUAGUUGGCGGGGUAACGGCCCACCAAGUCUACGAUCAGUAGCUGAUGUGAGAGCAUGAUCAGCCACACGGGGACUGAGACAAGGGCCCGACUCCUACGGGAGGCAGCAGUAAGGAAUAUUGGACAAUGGACGCAAGUCUGAUCCAGCCAUGCCGCGUGAAGGAUUAAGGUCCUCUGGAUUGUAAACUUCUUUUAUAAGGGACGAAAAAAGGUCUUUCUAGAUCGUCUGACGGUACCUUAUGAAUAAGCACCGGCUAACUCCGUGCCAGCCGCCGCAGUAAUAC